rnacentral:rRNA from 1 species
UACGUAGGGGGCUAGCGUUGUCCGGGUUUAUUGGGCGUAAAGAGCGUGUAGGCGGCCAUGUAGGUCCGGUGUGAAAACUCGAGGCUUAACCUCGAGAUGUCAUCGGAAACCAUUUGGCUAGAGUCCGGAAGAGGAGAGUGGAAUUCCUGGUGUAGCGGUGAAAUGCGCAGAUAUCAGGAGGAACACCAGUGGCGAAAGCGGCUUCCUGGUCCAGCACCGACGUUCAGGCACGAAAGCGUGGGGAGCAAACAGG